rnacentral:rRNA from 1 species
ACCCCAUUAUACUAAUAAAAUUCCAGAUUAUUAAUAGUUAUGUUCUAGAAAUUUAAAGAAUUUGGCGGUGAUUUAGUCUUGUUAGAGGAACCUGUUUUUGAAUCGAUACACCACGUAAAAUCUUACUUAUUUUAGUAUUAGUUUAUAUACCGUCAUUAUUAGACAAAUUUUAAAGAAUUAAGUUGUAAUUUAAAUUAAAGUUAAACUAAAUUAGAUCAAGGUGUAGCUAAUAAAUAAGUUAAAAUGGGUUACAAUAAUACUUUGUUAAUAUGGAAUGGAAAUUGAAAGAGAUUUAUAAAAGAGGAUUUAAUUGUAAUAUAAAUAUAACUAGUUUAAAAGAUAUAAGCU